CAACCCUCAAGCUCAGCUUGGUAUUGGGUGUCACCUGGCAAUGGUGUACCUUAAAAUCAGUGGCGGUGCCGUCUGGCUUUCAAGUGUAGUAAUUCUCUCGCUUUGGAGGUCCAGUGUGUGCUUGCCGUCAACCCCUAAUUUUUCAAA
rnacentral:misc_RNA from 1 species